rnacentral:rRNA from 1 species
CUUCGGUGGUACUCGAGCGGCGAACGGGUGAGUAACACGUGAGUAAUCUGCCCUUGGCUUUGGGAUAGCCACCGGAAACGGUGAUUAAUACCGGAUACGACCACUUCUCGCAUGGGAUGGUGGUGGAAAGUUUUUCGGCCAGGGAUGUGCUCGCGGCCUAUCAGCUUGAUGGUGAGGUAAUGGCUCACCAUGGCUUCGACGGGUAGCCGGCCUGAGAGGGUGACCGGUCACACUGGGACUGAGACACGGCCCAGACUCCUACGGGAGGCAGCAGUGGGGAAUAUUGGACAAUGGGCGGAAGCCUGAUCCAGCAACGCCGCGUGAGGGAUGACGGCCUUCGGGUUGUAAACCUCUUUCGGUGGGGACGAAGCGCAAGUGACGGUACCCACUAAAGAAGCACCGGCCAACUACGUGCCAGCAGCCGCGGUAAUACGUAGGGUGCGAGCGUUGUCCGGAAUUAUUGGGCGUAAAGGGCUCGUAGGCGGUUUGUCGCGUCGGGAGUGAAAACCAGGUGCUUAACACCUGGCUUGCUUUCGAUACGGGCAGACUAGAGGUAUUCAGGGGAGAACGGAAUUCCUGGUGUAGCGGUGAAAUGCGCAGAUAUCAGGAGGAACACCGGUGGCGAAGGCGGUUCUCUGGGAAUGACCUGACGCUGAGGAGCGAAAGUGUGGGGAGCGAACAGGAUUAGAUACCCUGGUAGUCCACACCGUAAACGUUGGGCGCUAGGUGUGGGGUCCAUUCCAC